UUCAACAGUUGUCGCGUUUUUCGCUGCUGCAAGAUCUAGCCCUGCAGUGUUAUCGAUUUUCCGACUACUGUCAAGGGAUUGCAUAGUAUGUUCGACUUGUAUUCUUUGUUGUGUCAGAAAGGUGUUCAUGUAUACGAACCGUGCACUGAUCCACUGCCUGCCGGUGCGCCUGCCUUUCCGUGUGGAACGCUUCCUUGCUAUAGCAUGGCACGCGGCUCGACGCCAAGCGCAACCAGCGCCAAUGGAUGUCCUACUCCAGCCACAAGUCGUACGAGCAGAAGCUCGCCUGCGUGAACGACAACAGCUGGACGAUGGCGCACGUUGCAGCGAUCGAGAUGGCGCACGCCGCCGUUUUCGGAGCGGGAAGCGGGAGAAGCGAGGAGGCCAAGCAGCCGAGGACAAACUGGCUUCCAGGUCAGCGAGAGAACGUCUCGCCGGAGAUGCUAUUCUUCCUGGUCUACUGCCGCACCACAUGCCAGUCCAAGUACCGCCACCGCCCUAAUCAAACGAACUGGCAAAGACCCCGCUGCGGCGAAGUCCUGAAGCAUGUGGCGGGCUUCGGCCGCGCAUUUGAGUGCCCCGCCGACUCUCCCAUGGUGUCGUCGGUGCCUAAGUGCUCGUUUUUUGGCACGUGAAGAAGAACGUGCCUUGUGUUUGAGGGCCUUGGUUGGCUGUGGUGUGGGGAAGUUGCGAUAGAUUUGCAAGUGAAUAUUUACAUUUUCAUAUUGAGCGUUUCCUAAGCUUUUAACUUUACUGUAGAAGUCGAUUACCUUUUUGUGUCUUUAAUUUGCCAUGUUCUUUUCCUUCCUUUUUCUUGAGAAAUCCUCGGAUGCGCUCUACUUUGCGCAUUUCACCUGUCAUACGUUUAAAUGUUACUAUACAUUUUUAUUGCUUGAGUCUUCUUUUAAAUCGUAGGAAGGCUAAUCAUGACUUGUGAUCCCGGAUGGAACCUUUCAAAUGGACGUUGUCGAAUAUCCUCUGGGUGAAACUAUUGUUUUUCACCGAAAUUGUUUGCCUGAUUUGCUCAACCCACUUGCUUCCGCGUCUUGAGCAGUGAGCAACACGGUACAUGUGGGGAUCUGUUGUGGAGUUCUGAACUAGCCACUUGAAGCAAGGCAUACGUACCGCUAGUGCUUUGUUAUAUCUAUUUCAUGCAUGACACAUUGAGGCGGCCAUAGAUAGUAUGCAUUACCACUAGAGUACACCGAUGUCUUCGCUGGCCAGACCAUCUUACGAGUACCGCUUUACUACGAUAAAUUGACUCAAUGAAUAGCUACGCUACUGCAAGCAGCCAGAACUCAGUGGUUCCUGCGUUGCUCUGGGUCUCAAGAGUUUUUUGCAUUUCUUGAUGUAGCCCACGCAUUCGGGAAUUCGCCAGCAUAAUUGUGAACAAAAGUGAGAAUUUUAUUUUGCCUUUUCAUUUUAUUCGGUGCUUGCACAAACUGUAGAAUGACUGACUUUAUUUUUGCGAAAGCGCUUAUUUUCUCGGAUAUUCUAGGACGCUUAAAAUUUGCUCAAGUGCUAUAAAAUGUAUGUAAUUAGUACGGGUAGCUCUUAAUAUAACUCGCUGGACGGUGUUCGGUGGGAGCGCAAACUGUGGGAAAUAUGCCAUCUUGUUAAUUAAAAUAGUGAAACAUCCGUAUAUGACAUUAUGAACAUUGAAAUUUCAUAUCGUCUUACGAAAUUUCGUAACCCAAAACAUGGUCGAGGCUGCACAAAUAAAGCUGCGUUGGCAAUAAUAUAUUUAGCAAGGUUUUAUAUUCCCGUUGUACCCGUUGUAAAGCUUGCUCGCAUAAAACUUAGCAAGUACAGAAAGGAAACAACCACGUCCCAGAAGCACGGAAACGAUGACUUCAUAUGUCGUUGUCUUGUCUAAAUAUGUUCACCGACUGGCGGCACUGUCCAUAAUUGGCGUCAACAGUACUUCCUCGCGUGUGGCGAAGUGUUUUAUAUUAUUGUCUCGAAGAUACAGUUUUAUAGGUUUUAUCAGAAACCGAACCACUGGAACAAACGAAAAUUUGGUCGCCAGUGGAGUCGCCAAGCUGUUCAGAUAUAUUUUUACACCGUCUUUAGGUUUACCAGCUGUGAUUUGGGGUGGAAGUAAACAUUUUGAGUAGCAACUACACAACAUGAGGGUAAAACCUACGUCUGUUCUCGUGCUAUUCAAUCUAAUCAGCCCAACAUCAUUUACUAUUGGUUAUUGUGCGUAGGAUAUCGAUUUCUGUUCCCUGUAACGGCCAUUGCAAAGUCGCAAGGCCGGUGUCGAUGGACUUGCUAUGAAUUUUUGUGUUCUCUAGUUGCGGAGGAACUUUGCUGUUCAAAUAAAGGAAUUGCUAUACAGCAUGCCA